GCCGGGUGCAGUGGCGCACGCCUGUAAUCCCACUGGCUCAGGAGGCUCAGACAGGAGGAUUGUGAGUUCAAAACCAGCCUCAGCAAAUUAGCGAGGCCCUAAGCAACCUAGCAAGACCCUAUCUCUA
rnacentral:sRNA from 1 species